rnacentral:rRNA from 1 species
AAUGAACGUUGGCGGCGUGGAUUAGGCAUGCAAGUCGAGGGAGAACCCGCAAGGGGGACACCGGCGAACGGGGUAGGAUCACGUAGGUGACGUACCCUCAGGGCGAGGAUAGCCACGGGAAACUGUGGGUAAUACUCGAUAACCUUCCCAAUCGUGAUAGAAGGGGAAGCAAUGGGUGUGAUUCCACCUGAGGAGCGGCUUACGCAGUAUCAGCUAGUUGGUGAGGUAACGGCUCACCAAGGCUUUGACGCUUAGGGGGUGUGAGAGCAUGGCCCCCACCACUGGCACUGAGACACUGGCCAGACACCUACGGGUGGCUGCAGUCGAGAAUCUUCGGCAAUGGACGAAAGUCUGACCGAGCGACGCCGCGUGCGGGAUGAAGGUCUUCGGAUUGUAAACCGCUGUCAGAGGGGAUGAAGUAUAUGAAAGCUAUCUUUUAUAUUUGACAGAGCCUCAGAGGAAGCACGGGCUAAGUUCGUGCCAGCAGCCGC